AGCGGCGUAAGGGGCAGUAAUACCUGGGAACGUACCCUGAGGUCGGGGAUAGCUGCUGGAAACGGCGAGUAAUACCCGAUGAUCUCGCGAGAGCAAAGGCUUGCCGCCUUCGGAGCGGCCCAGGCGAUAUUAGCUAGUUGGUGAGGUAACGGCUUACCAAGGCAUAGAUGUCUAGCGGGUGUGAGAGCACGACCCGCGCCACUGGCACUGAGACACUGGCCAGACACCUACGGGUGGCUGCAGUCGAGAAUCUUCGGCAAUGAGCGCAAGCUUGACCGAGCGACGCCGCGUGCGGGAUGAAGGCCUUCGGGUUGUAAACCGCUUUGGUCCGAGAGAAAGGGUAAAACUUGAUCGAUCGGAGAAACAAGGACGGGCUAAGUUCGUGCCAGCAGCCGCGGUAAGACGAACCGUCCAAACGUUAUUCGGAAUCACUGGGCUUAAAGGGCGCGUAGGCGGCCGAGCGGGUCGCGGGUGAAAUCCUCCAGCUUAACUGGAGAACUGCCCUCGAUACCACUGCGGCUCGAGGAAGGAAGGGGUCAUGGGAACUGUCGGUGGAGCGGUGAAAUGCGUUGAUAUCGACAGGAACGCCUGUGGCGAAAGCGCAUGACUGGUCCUUUUCUGACGCUGAGGCGCGAAAGCCAGGGGAGCAAACGGGAUUAGAUACCCCGGUAGUCCUGGCCUUAAACGAUGAGAACUAGGU
rnacentral:rRNA from 1 species